AAUGUUGUCUGGCUCGAGGCCC
rnacentral:miRNA from 1 species